UAAAAUGUACAAAAAAGUAAAAUUGUGGGGGUGUUUAUUUAAUGAGAGGAAGAUGACAAGAAACUCAUUUCUGUCUGAUUUUGCUCUGAUUUACUGAAGGUGAAACAGUAGGUGUGUACUAUUGCUUUUUGAGCUUUUUUCUGAAAGUUAGGAGGAAAAGGACAAUUUAAAUUUGGACUUGUUCUGCACUAUAAGCAAA
rnacentral:lncRNA from 1 species